rnacentral:lncRNA from 1 species
AAACCUUCCUUUGUCCCAGAGAAUCAUAUUGAUAUUUGCCAAGAAUAUACACAACAUUCGCGUUGACCACUCUGCACAAUAGACCUGUCAUGAGACAUGCAGGGUAGGUAUCAACCAUUUGAGCCUCUGUCUGCAUGUAAUGCAUAAAAAAAAUGCUGGUUUUCAGGAGCAUACGGUUCAAUUGGGAGUCCAGUCACCACAGCAAACAACAAAGUCUUAAGCUGCUGAUCAAGACACAUAUCAACUUCAGACAAGCUCAUGGGCUUACCAGGGUGGAUCCGCCUCCAUUUGCCAAUCGAUUCGUGAACUUCUCCAGGCUCAAAUUUGUUAGCGUCUGAUAGGCUUUUUAUUGGUUGGGCCAAGCCAGGCCCAUUCGCCCAUGUUGGGCGAAACCUAGCCCAUAAAGAAAGGGACCAUAAGAAAGAAAGAAUCGUUAUUGUUCAAGUGAAAAUAACUGUCAUAUAUAAAAGGAAAAUGAAAUUGGGAACAUUAAUUUAUAGAGACAGAACGUGCGUUUUCCUAUUCGAAGAUAGUAAACUCUCUCGACGAACUAAACUCCAAGACUUUGAUUGAUUCCUCUAAGACUACAAUGAGUAUUUAAUUUGUUGUAAAUAAGGUACAUUCAUCUUCGUGAUGUCAUUUUCAAUCAGUAUUAUAUGUUUGCUCGGGACCGUUUUCACAUUUCUUUUUGGUAUUCAAUCCUCGAGUAUCGGUUCAUUUUUAGGAAUCUGUUUCCUUCAGCAUCCGGCCAAGCCGUCUCAUUGCAGGUUACGGCCCA